rnacentral:rRNA from 1 species
UACCCGCGGCCCGAGUGGUGCUCAUUAUUAUUGAGCCUAAAGCGUCCGUAGCUGGCCGUGCAAAUCUCCGGGGAAAUCGGACGGCCCAACUGUCCGAAGACCGGAGACACUGCUCGGCUCGAGAUCGGGAGAGGGAGGAGGUACUCUCGGGGUAGGGGUAAAAUCCUGUAAUCCUGAGGGGACCACCAGUGGCGAAGGCGUCCUCCUAGAACGAAUCUGACAGUGAGGGACGAAGCCCUAGGGCGCAAACGGGAUUAGAUACCCCGGUAGUCUAGGGUGUAAACGCUGCAGACUUGGUGUUGGGGGUCCUGCGUGGGCUCCCAGUGCCGGAGCGAAGGUGUUAAGUCUGCCGCUUGGGGAGUACGGUCGCAAGACUGAAACUUAAAGGAAUUGGCGGGAGAGCACCGCAACGGGAGGAGCGUGCGGUUCAAUUGGAUUCAACGCCGGAAAACUCACCGGGGGCGACGGAGGGAUGAAAGCCAGGCUGAAGACCUUGCCCGAUUCUCCGAGAGGUGGUGCAUGGCCGUCGUCAGUUCGUACCGUAAGGCGUUCUGUUAAGUCAGAUAACGAACGAGACCCUCGCCUUCAGUCGCUAUUUCGUGCGUGAGCACGAGAGCACACUGGGGGGAUCGCUGCCGCUAAGACAGAGGAAGGAGAGGUCUACGGUAGGUCCGUAUGCCCCGAAUCUCCCGGGCAACACGCGCGCUACAAAGGUGGGGACAAUGGGAUCCGACCCCGCAAGGGGAAGGCAAUCCUGAAACCCCAUCGUAGUCUGGAUUGAGGGCUGUAACUCGCCCUCAUGAAAAUGGAUUCCGUAGUAAUCGCGGGUCAACAUCCCGCGGUGAAUGUGCCCCUGCUCUU